CUUUACUGUAGCUUUGCAUUGGACUUUGACGGGACUUGUGUAGGAUAGGUGGGAGGCUGUGAGGCGUGGUCGCCAGAUCGCGCGGAGCCGACGUUGAAAUACCACCCUGGUGUCGUUGAGGUUCUAACCUUGGUCCGUGAAUCCGGAUCGGGGACCGUGCAUGGCAGGCAGUCUGACUGGGGCGGUCUCCUCCCAAAGUGUAACGGAGGAGUACGAAGGUCUUCUAGGUACGGUCGGACAUCGUGCUCAUAGUGCAAUGGCAAAAGAAGGCUUGACUGCGAGUCCCACAAGACGAGCAGGUGCGAAAGCAGGUCAUAGUGAUCCGGUGGUUCUGUAUGGAAGGGCCAUCGCUCAACGGAUAAAAGGUA
rnacentral:rRNA from 1 species